GGUCCAAUAGUGUAGAGGUUAACAUGCACUGGCUUGACAAUAGAAAAUGUACGUCCCUCCAUGAGAUCCAGGUUCGAGUCCUGGUUGGACCG
rnacentral:tRNA from 1 species